ensembl:miRNA MIR302B microRNA 302b
GCUCCCUUCAACUUUAACAUGGAGGCGCUUUCUGUGUCUUGCAAUGACAGUAAGUGCUUCCAUGUUUUAGUAGAAGU